rnacentral:rRNA from 1 species
UGGGGAAUAUUGGACAAUGGGCGAAAGCCUGAUCCAGCCAUGCCGCGUGUGUAAGAAGGCCUUUUGGUUGUAAAGCACUUUAAGCGAGGAGGAGGCUACUAGUACUAAUACUACUGGAUAGUGGACGUUACUCGCAGAAUAAGCACCGGCUAACUCUGUGCCAGCAGCCGCGGUAAUACAGAGGGUGCGAGCGUUAAUCGGAUUUACUGGGCGUAAAGCGUGCGUAGGCGGCUGAUUAAGUCGGAUGUGAAAUCCCUGAGCUUAACUUAGGAAUUGCAUUCGAUACUGGUCAGCUAGAGUAUGGGAGAGGAUGGUAGAAUUCCAGGUGUAGCGGUGAAAUGCGUAGAGAUCUGGAGGAAUACCGAUGGCGAAGGGAGCCAUCUGGCCUAACACUGACGCUGAGGUACGAAAGCAUGGGGAGCAAACAGG